UUGAUGAGACUGGCUUGUGGACAUGGGUCUGAAUGAUUCUAAACCAGGUGAGGUAAAAGAAAGAGAACUCCACAAUGCACGUAGUGGCACGAAGUCUAAAGCUCAGUACCUUCUGUGAGCCGAACAACUACCAAGAAUUUUCAGAAGGGGCUGGUGAUGCACAAGGGAGAAUUAAGAAUGUGGUUGGGCGUCAACUUUCCUACUGUGGUUCUUCGGCAAAAUACAACGGUCAGUGCAUCAUGGGAUAUGCUAGCAAGGACAUCAAGGUAAUCGAGAUCUAUCUAGGGCAAUAUUGAUGUCUUCUCAUUAUAAAUGACAUUUAAAUCAGUAAGAUUUGAAAAGGCCAUUCGGGAGCUGGCUUUACAACGGGAAGAGCCCAAGAGUUGAUACGUCCAGCUUCUGAAACACUUUAAGCUACUCAGUACCAAACGGUUGACUUCUGGGAACUAGAUAAAGGAGACAUAACCCCAGGCUAAAAUAACACUAGGUCACGGAAGAGAUAAGAUAUGCCUACAGAUACAUGGAUAAGAUGAGUAUUUGAAGUAUUUGGGUGUCCAGGAAUACAAGCUGUAAAUGAAUCACUGUUUAAAUGGAACUUGAGUGCAAAGUACAAAAACCAGUGAUAACUGGGAUCCAGAAGAGGAUGGUGGAAUCUCGCAGGGACUGAGAAAUCUUCCAAGCAGGAUUGUACUCUGCCCUCCGGAACACAGAGACAAAGGGGCCUCCUGAAAGGAACAGCAGGGGCAAAAGCCCCCGGGUUACUCAGAAAACAAGCAGAGUGGCGGCAGGAUAGUUCCCCAAGGAAGCAGUCAUAAAACACAAAACACAGAUCACGAAGUCAUGAAAACUAAGGUGUGGAGCAGAAGCGAGCAGCAUCACUGCAAGAGCGUAAACCGUCAGAGUGGCCUGCGAAGUGCACUUCAUACUGUCGAACACUCUAGAAAUGACGUGUCUGAAACCAUCAGGAGAUUUCAAGCAUGGGAGAUUUUACAAGGGGGCAAAUGAAAGCACUCAGGGGGAGGUCCUAAAGAA
rnacentral:lncRNA from 1 species